rnacentral:rRNA from 1 species
UACGUAGGGUCCGAGCGUUGUCCGGAAUUACUGGGUGUAAAGCGCGCGUAGGUGGGAGGCCAAGUCUGUGGUGAAAGCGCCCGGCUCAACUGGGCAUGGUCCAUGGAAACUGGUCACCUGGAGGACGGUAGAGGCGAGUGGAAUUCCCGGUGUAGUGGUGAAAUGCGUAGAGAUCGGGAGGAACACCAGUGGCGAAGGCGACUACCUGGCCUGUUCUUGACGCUGAGGCGCGAAAGCUAGGGGAGCAAACGGG